AGAGAGAGACAUGCGCGCAUAUCAAUAAGCGGAGGAAAAGAAACUAACAAGGAUUCCCUUAGUAACGGCGAGUGAAGCGGGAAGAGCUCAAAUUUGAAAUCUUCAAGGUUCUACCUUGACGAACUUGUAGUUUAUAGAAGUGUUUUCUGUUAGUGGAGUGGCAAAAGUUCUUUGGAAUAGGACAUCAUAGAGGGUGAGAAUCCCGUAUUUGGUCAUUCCUCCUAGCGUUGUGAUACACUUUCAACGAGUCGGAUUGUUUGGGAAUGCAGUCCAAAAUGGGUGGUAAACUUCAUCUAAAGCUAAAUAUUGGCGAGAGACCGAUAGCGAACAAGUACCGUGAGGGAAAGAUGAAAAGAACUUUGAAAAGAGAGUUAAACAGUACGUGAAAUUGUCAAAAGGGAAGCGUUUGACACCAGUGUUGUUUUUCCGAAAAUCAAUUACGAAUGUUUUAUUUUUGAGGAGUUAUGACUUCAUCGGCUUGCUCCUUUCUUUAUGAAACUUUCUUAAUGCACUUUUCGGUUAACAAGUCAACAUCAAUUUCUUUUGUUGUAAAAGGGUAUGAGGAAGGUGGCUUUCUUUUCGGAGAAAGUGUUUAUAGCCUUGUGCCUCUGCAAUCGGAGAGAUUGAGGUCUGCAGCGUAGAUCCUUCGGGGUUAGAUACGUUUGUGCUAAGUUAUAGCCUUUCAUAGACAACUUGUUGACUAUGUUUAGUCUUGUAGCUUACUCGCUGAUGCUAUUUUACCUACGCUUAGGAUGUUGAUAGUCACAGCGUGUAC
rnacentral:rRNA from 1 species